rnacentral:lncRNA from 1 species
GUCAGGCAUUCAGGCAGCGAGAGCAGAGCAGCGUAGAGCAGCACAGCUGAGCUCGUGAGGCAGGAGACUCAGCCCGAGGAAAUCGCAGAUAAGUUUUUAAUUAAAAAGAUUGAGCAGUAAAAAGAAUUAGAACUCUAAACUUAAGCUAAUAGAGUAGCUUAUCGAAAUAUUACUUAGUCUUAAUAAUCUAAGAAGAUCUUAAGAGAUAACAUGAAGGCUUAUUUAAACAGUUUGAAAAAGGAAAUGAGGAGAAAAGUAUUUGUACUGUAUAAUGGAGGCUGACCAGAGCAGUUUAGGAGAUUGUAAAGGGAGGUUUUGUGAAGUUCUAAAAGGUUCUAGUUUGAAGGUCGGCCUUGUAGAUUAAAACGAAGGUUACCUAAAUAGAAUCUAAGUGGCAUUUAAAACAGUAAAGUUGUAGAGAAUAGUUUGAAAAUGAGGUGUAGUUUUAAAAGAUUGAGAAAAGUAGGUUAAGUUGACGGCCGUUAUAAAAAUCCUUCGACUGGCGCAUGUACGUUUGAAGGCAUGAGUUGGAAACAGGGAAGAUGGAAGUGUUAGGCUAGCCGGGCGAUGGUGGCGCACGCCUUUAAUCCUAGCACUUGGGAGGCAGAGGCAGGCGGAUUUCUGAGUUCGAGGCCAGCCUGGUCUACAGAGUGAGUUCCAGGACAGCCAGGGCUACACAGAGAAACCCUGUCUUGAAAAAACAAAAAGGUUAGGCUAGUAUUUGGAGAAAGAAGAUUAGAAAAUGGAAGUGAAAGACGAAGAAGACAUACAGGAAGGUGAAGAAAAAGCUGUUAGAGAAGAUAGGAAAAUAGAAGACAAAGCAUCUUUAGAAGACAGAAAAGGUACUUAAAGGCACAGGUAGUAGGAAGCCGAAGAAUAGAAGAUAGAAAGAAGCAAGAUAGAAAAACAAAAUGGAAGUUAAGACAACUUUGGAUGCCAGCAUUCAAGAUAGGCAAAGAAGAUAAGAUUGAGGCCAAAAGGUUGGAUAAGAUAUAAAGUCAGAAGGAAAUUAUCUUUAAAGCCAUAAGUUCAAAUUUCUGAUGGAGCGAGCAGUUUAGAAGAGUCUUUAGACAGCCACAUACAAGAUUGAAGCUAGCAAUCAAAGCUACUAGGACUGAAGUAAAAAGUUAAGGCAGAAUGCCUUUGAAGAGUUAGAAGAAUAUUAAAAGCCUUAACUUGUAGCUUAAUUUUGCUUGAUGACAAAAGGACUUUUGAUAACAGUUUCAAGAUUGUCAGCAUUUUGCAUUGGACUUGAGCUGAGGUGCUUUUAAAAUCCUAACGACUAGCAUUGGCAGCUGACCCAGGUCUACACAGAAGUGCAUUCAGUGAACUAGGAAGACAGGAGCGGCAGACAGGAGUCCCGAAGCCAGUUUGGUGAAGCUAGGAAGGACUGAGGAGCCAGCAGCAGCAGUGCAUGGUGAAGAUAGCCCAGGAAAGAGUGCGGUUCGGUGGAGGAAGCUAGGAAGAAGGAGCCAUACGGAUGUGGUGGUGAAGCUGGGAAAGGGUUCCAGGAUGGUGGAGCGAGAGCGAGUUGGUGAUGAAGCUAGCUGGCGGCUUGGCUUGUCAACUGCGCGGAGGAGGCGAGCAGGCAUUGUGGAGAGGAUAGAUAGCGGCUCCUAGACCAGCAUGCCAGUGUGCAAGAAAGGCUGCAGGGAGAGCAUGCGGUGCGGUAACAUUCCUUGAGGUCGGCAACAUGGUGGUGGUUUUCUGUAACUUGGAUGGUAACUUGUUUACUUUGUCUUAAUAGUUAUGGGGGAGUUGUAGGCUUCUGUGUAAAGAGAUAUAUCUGGGGCUGUAUGUAGGCCUUUGCGGGUGUUGUAGGUUUUUCUUUUUCAGGGUUAUGUCCUCUUGCAUCUUGUCAGAAGCUUUUGAGGGCUGACUGCCAAGGCCCAGAAAGAAGAAUGGUAGAUGGCAAGUUGUCUUUAACCGCUCAGAGGGGAAUGAAUGGUAGAGCCAGCACAACCUCCCAGUUUUGUAAGACGUUGUAGUUUGAACAGAUGACCUACCACAAGCCUCACUCCUGUGUAGGGGAGGUAAUUGGGCAAAGUGCUUUUGGGGGAAUGGGGGCAAAAUAUAUUUUGAGUUCUUUUCCCCUUAGGUCUGUCUAGAAUCCUAAAGGCAGAUGACUCAAGGGAACCAGAAAAAAGGAAAUCCACUCUCAGGAUAAGCAGAGCUCGCCAGGUUUACAGUUUGUAGGAAGUAGAGGAUGGAUGCUAGCUUUCACACUGAGUGUGGAGGAGCUGGCCAUGGCGGAAUUGCUGGUAGUUUACUCUUUCCCCCUCCCUUAAUGAGAUUUGUAAAAUCCUAAACACUUUUACUUGAAAUAUUUGGGAGUGGUCUUAACAGGGAGGAGUGGGUGGGGGAAACGUUUUUUUUCUAAGAUUUUCCACAGAUGCUAUAGUUGUGUUGACACACUGGGUUAGAGAAGGCGUGUACUGCUAUGCUGUUGGCACGACACCUUCAGGGACUGGAGCUGCCUUUUGUCCUUGGAAGAGUUUUCCCAGUUGCCGCUGAAGUCAGCACAGUGCGGCUUUGGUUCACAGUCACCUCAGGAGAACCUCAGGAGCUUGGCUAGGCCAGAGGUUGAAGUUAAGUUUUACAGCACCGUGAUUUAAAAUAUUUCAUUAAAGGGGAGGGGUAAAACUUAGUUGGCUGUGGCCUUGUGUUUGGGUGGGUGGGGGUGUUAGGUAAUUGUUUAGUUUAUGAUUUCAGAUAAUCAUACCAGAGAACUUAAAUAUUUGGAAAAACAGGAAAUCUCAGCUUUCAAGUUGGCAAGUAACUCCCAAUCCAGUUUUUGCUUCUUUUUUCCUUUUUCUUUUUUUGAGGCGGGCAGCUAAGGAAGGUGACUUAAUGUAUCUUAAUAACUACUAUAGGAACAAAGGAAGUGGCUUUAAUGACCCUGAAGGAAUUUCUUCUGGUGAUAGCUUUUAUAUUAUCAAGUAAGAGAUACUAUCUCAGUUUUGUAUAAGCAAGUCUUUUUCCUAGUGUAGGAGAAAUGAUUUUCCUUGUGACUAAACAAGAUGUAAAGGUAUGCUUUUUUUCUUCUUGUGCAUUGUAUACUUGUGUUUAUUUGUAACUUAUAAUUUAAGAAUUAUGAUAAUUCAGCCUGAAUGUCUUUUAGAGGGUGGGCUUUUGUUGAUGAGGGAGGGGAAACCUUUUUUUUUCUGUAGACCUUUUUCAGAUAACACCAUCUGAGUCAUAACCAGCCUGGCAGUGUGAUGACGUAGAUGCAGAGGGAGCAGCUCCUUGGUGAAUGAGUGAUAAGUAAAGGCAGAAAAAAUAAUGUCAUGUCUCCAUGGGGAAUGAGCAUGAGCCAGAGAUUGUUCCUACUGAUGAAAAGCUGCAUAUGCAAAAAUUUAAGCAAAUGAAAGCAACCAGUAUAAAGUUAUGGCAAUACCUUUAAAAGUUAUGGCUUAUCUACCAAGCUUUAUCCACAAAAGUAAAGAAUUGAUGAAAAACAGUGAAGAUCAAAUGUUCAUCUCAAAACUGCUUUUACAAAAGCAGAAUAGAAAUGAAGUGAAAAUGCUGCAUUAAGCCUGGAGUAAAAAGAAGCUGAGCUUGUUGAGAUGAGUGGGAUCGAGCGGCUGCGAGGCGGUGCAGUGUGCCAAUGUUUCGUUUGCCUCAGACAGGUUUCUCUUCAUAAGCAGAAGAGUUGCUUCAUUCCAUCUCGGAGCAGGAAACAGCAGACUGCUGUUGACAGAUAAGUGUAACUUGGAUCUGCAGUAUUGCAUGUUAGGGAUAGAUAAGUGCCUUUUUUCUCUUUUUCCAAAAAGACCUGUAGAGCUGUUGAAUGUUUGCAGCUGGCCCCUCUUAGGCAGUUCAGAAUUUUGAGUAGUUUUCCCAUCCAGCCUCUUAAAAAUUCCUAAGCCUUGCACCGAUGGGCUUUCAUGAUGGGAUAGCUAAUAGGCUUUUGCAUCGUAAACUUCAACACAAAAGCCUACAUGAUUAAUGCCUACUUUAAUUACAUUGCUUACAAGAUUAAGGAAUCUUUAUCUUGAAGACCCCAUGAAAGGGAUCAUUAUGUGCUGAAAAUUAGAUGUUCAUAUUGCUAAAAUUUAAAUGUGCUCCAAUGUACUUGUGCUUAAAAUCAUUAAAUUAUACAAAUUAAUAAAAUACUUCACUAGAGAAUGUAUGUAUUUAGAAGGCUGUCUCCUUAUUUAAAUAAAGUCUUGUUUGUUGUCUGUAGUUAGUGUGGGCAAUUUUGGGGGGAUGUUCUUCUCUAAUCUUUUCAGAAACUUGACUUCGAACACUUAAGUGGACCAGAUCAGGAUUUGAGCCAGAAGACCGAAAUUAACUUUAAGGCAGGAAAGACAAAUUUUAUUCUCCAUGCAGUGAUGAGCAUUUAAUAAUUGCAGGCCUGGCAUAGAGGCCGUCUAACUAAGGACUAAGUACCUUAGGCAGGUGGGAGAUGAUGGUCAGAGUAAAAGGUAACUACAUAUUUUGUUUCCAGAAAGUCAGGGGUCUAAUUUGACCAUGGCUAAACAUCUAGGAGCCUCAUUUCAUCCUUCAUGGAGCUGCUCAGGACUUUGCAUAUAAGCGCUUGCCUCUGUCUUCUGUUCUGCUAGUGAGUGUGUGAUGUGAGACCUUGCAGUGAGUUUGUUUUUCCUGGAAUGUGGAGGGAGGGGGGGAUGGGGCUUACUUGUUCUAGCUUUUUUUUUACAGACCACACAGAAUGCAGGUGUCUUGACUUCAGGUCAUGUCUGUUCUUUGGCAAGUAAUAUGUGCAGUACUGUUCCAAUCUGCUGCUAUUAGAAUGCAUUGUGACGCGACUGGAGUAUGAUUAAAGAAAGUUGUGUUUCCCCAAGUGUUUGGAGUAGUGGUUGUUGGAGGAAAAGCCAUGAGUAACAGGCUGAGUGUUGAGGAAAUGGCUCUCUGCAGCUUUAAGUAACCCGUGUUUGUGAUUGGAGCCGAGUCCCUUUGCUGUGCUGCCUUAGGUAAAUGUUUUUGUUCAUUUCUGGUGAGGGGGGUUGGGAGCACUGAAGCCUUUAGUCUCUUCCAGAUUCAACUUAAAAUCUGACAAGAAAUAAAUCAGACAAGCAACAUUCUUGAAGAAAUUUUAACUGGCAAGUGGAAAUGUUUUGAACAGUUCCGUGGUCUUUAGUGCAUUAUCUUUGUGUAGGUGUUCUCUCUCCCCUCCCUUGGUCUUAAUUCUUACAUGCAGGAACAUUGACAACAGCAGACAUCUAUCUAUUCAAGGGGCCAGAGAAUCCAGACCCAGUAAGGAAAAAUAGCCCAUUUACUUUAAAUCGAUAAGUGAAGCAGACAUGCCAUUUUCAGUGUGGGGAUUGGGAAGCCCUAGUUCUUUCAGAUGUACUUCAGACUGUAGAAGGAGCUUCCAGUUGAAUUGAAAUUCACCAGUGGACAAAAUGAGGACAACAGGUGAACGAGCCUUUUCUUGUUUAAGAUUAGCUACUGGUAAUCUAGUGUUGAAUCCUCUCCAGCUUCAUGCUGGAGCAGCUAGCAUGUGAUGUAAUGUUGGCCUUGGGGUGGAGGGGUGAGGUGGGCGCUAAGCCUUUUUUUAAGAUUUUUCAGGUACCCCUCACUAAAGGCACUGAAGGCUUAAUGUAGGACAGCGGAGCCUUCCUGUGUGGCAAGAAUCAAGCAAGCAGUAUUGUAUCGAGACCAAAGUGGUAUCAUGGUCGGUUUUGAUUAGCAGUGGGGACUACCCUACCGUAACACCUUGUUGGAAUUGAAGCAUCCAAAGAAAAUACUUGAGAGGCCCUGGGCUUGUUUUAACAUCUGGAAAAAAGGCUGUUUUUAUAGCAGCGGUUACCAGCCCAAACCUCAAGUUGUGCUUGCAGGGGAGGGAAAAGGGGGAAAGCGGGCAACCAGUUUCCCCAGCUUUUCCAGAAUCCUGUUACAAGGUCUCCCCACAAGUGAUUUCUCUGCCACAUCGCCACCAUGGGCCUUUGGCCUAAUCACAGACCCUUCACCCCUCACCUUGAUGCAGCCAGUAGCUGGAUCCUUGAGGUCACGUUGCAUAUCGGUUUCAAGGUAACCAUGGUGCCAAGGUCCUGUGGGUUGCACCAGAAAAGGCCAUCAAUUUUCCCCUUGCCUGUAAUUUAACAUUAAAACCAUAGCUAAGAUGUUUUAUACAUAGCACCUAUGCAGAGUAAACAAACCAGUAUGGGUAUAGUAUGUUUGAUACCAGUGCUGGGUGGGAAUGUAGGAAGUCGGAUGAAAAGCAAGCCUUUGUAGGAAGUUGUUGGGGUGGGAUUGCAAAAAUUCUCUGCUAAGACUUUUUCAGGUGGACAUAACAGACUUGGCCAAGCUAGCAUCUUAGUGGAAGCAGAUUCGUCAGUAGGGUUGUAAAGGUUUUUCUUUUCCUGAGAAAACAACCUUUUGUUUUCUCAGGUUUUGCUUUUUGGCCUUUCCCUAGCUUUAAAAAAAAAAAAGCAAAAGACGCUGGUGGCUGGCACUCCUGGUUUCCAGGACGGGGUUCAAGUCCCUGCGGUGUCUUUGCUUGACUCUUAUAUCAUGAGGCCAUUACAUUUUUCUUGGAGGGUUCUAAAGGCUCUGGGUAUGGUAGCUGAUAUCACUGGAACACUCCCCAGCCUCAGUGUUGAACUCUUGAUAAUUAACUGCAUUGUCUUUCAGGUUAUGCCCAAUUCGUCUUAUUACCUCUGAGUCGACACACC